GCGUGGAUGAAGAAGGCCUUAGGGUUGUAAAAUCCUUUCGCUAGGGAAGAUAAUGACGGUACCUAGUAAAGAAGCCCCGGCUAAUUUCGUGCCAGCAGCCGCGGUAAUACGAAAGGGGCUAGCGUUGUUCGGAAUUACUGGGCGUAAAGCGCACGUAGGCGGCAUGCUAAGUUAGAGGUGAAAUCCCGGAGCUCAACUCCGGAACUGCCUUUAAAACUAGCAAGCUAGAGGAUGUGAGAGGAGAGUGGAAUUCCGAGUGUAGAGGUGAAAUUCGU
rnacentral:rRNA from 1 species